GAGAGUUUGCGGGUGCUCUGACGCUGAACCGCCGGUGUAAAAAGGAUGACUCGACACGUACGUCGUUUAUCUGGAUCACAAAGUAUCAUCUACCUUGCCUCGACUUUUGCCGCAGCUCUCGCUAUGUGCAACGAUCCGAAGGCCAUAGCAUCGAGUAAAAAUAUCAGCGUCGACGUUUCAAAGACCUGUUGGAUGCUGUGUUAUUUGCCAAGGAUUAAAUCGAACACUUCCUGAUAAAACUCCUUGCUACGCGCUCCGCCCUGAAGAUGCUAAACGGAUCCAACCAUUCGCACAUCGAAGUUGCCCUCUCGGACUGUGUGAAAAUGGGGUCUGUUCGCCAACCGGGAAAUAUGAACUUUGUGCAAGCAAACUGAUCUAGAA
rnacentral:lncRNA from 1 species